rnacentral:misc_RNA from 1 species
AAGUCGUAACAAGGUAACCGUAGGUGAACCUGCGGUUGGAUCAUUACAAAAUUUUAGUCGGCUUUUUACCGACGGCUGGGCUGGGUGAUUUCGCCCGUUGGCAGAAACACCCACAUCGUAAUCGAGUUGGAGACCGUAGGUUUCCUUUCGGAGACGAGACUGCCUUUGCUGGCGGCAAUAAGCAAAACGACAACCCACAACCGUGCCCCUUUGCCUCGAAAGAGGAAUUACAACUGUUUAUAUCAUCAAUCUGACACCAACCAUGAGAAACAAUGAGAAACAACUUUAGACAACGGAUCUCUUGGCUCUC